GACGAACGCUGGCGGCGUGCUUAACACAUGCAAGUCGAACGGAAAGGCCCUGCUUUUGUGGGGUGCUCGAGUGGCGAACGGGUGAGUAACACGUGAGUAACCUGCCCUUGACUUUGGGAUAACUUCAGGAAACUGGGGCUAAUACCGGAUAGGAGCUCCUGCUGCAUGGUGGGGGUUGGAAAGUUUCGGCGGUUGGGGAUGGACUCGCGGCUUAUCAGCUUGUUGGUGGGGUAGUGGCUUACCAAGGCUUUGACGGGUAGCCGGCCUGAGAGGGUGACCGGCCACAUUGGGACUGAGAUACGGCCCGGACUCCUACGGGAGGCAGCGGGGGGGAAUAUUGCACAAUGGGCGGAAGCCUGAUGCAGCAACGCCGCGUGCGGGAGGACGGCCUUCGGGUGGUAAACCGCUUUCGCCUGUGACGAAGCGUGAGUGACGGUAAUGGGUAAAGAAGCACCGGCUAACUACGUG
rnacentral:rRNA from 1 species